UCCAACUGAGCCAGCCAGGAGUCCCCAGCUUCAGGAACUGAAAUAAUCUCUUCUAGGCUUCACUGAAGAGGGAGAGAUAUGUGCAUAAUUUCUACAGCAUCAAAAGAAAGUUUCAUUGAGACAUACUGAUGCACUGCUGGAUGAUACAGUCCAUAUAUCUUCCAGGAAACUUCUAAAUGAAUACAAGUGUGAAGU